UACUCCUACGGGAGGCAGCAGUGGGGAAUAUUGGACAAUGGGCGCAAGCCUGAUCCAGCCAUACCGCGUGGGUGAAGAAGGCCUUCGGGUUGUAAAGCCCUUUUGUUGGGAAAGAAAUCCAGCCGGCUAAUACCUGGUUGGGAUGACGGUACCCAAAGAAUAAGCACCGGCUAACUUCGUG
rnacentral:rRNA from 1 species